rnacentral:rRNA from 1 species
AGUGAACGCUGGCGGUAGGCCUAACACAUGCAAGUCGAACGGCAGCACAGUAAGAGCUUGCUCUUACGGGUGGCGAGUGGCGGACGGGUGAGGAAUACAUCGGAAUCUACUUUUUCGUGGGGGAUAACGUAGGGAAACUUACGCUAAUACCGCAUACGACCUACGGGUGAAAGCAGGGGAUCUUCGGACCUUGCGCGAUUGAAUGAGCCGAUGUCGGAUUAGCUAGUUGGCGGGGUAAAGGCCCACCAAGGCGACGAUCCGUAGCUGGUCUGAGAGGAUGAUCAGCCACACUGGAACUGAGACACGGUCCAGACUCCUAGGGGAGGCAGCAGUGGGGAAUAUUGGACAAUGGGCGCAAUCCUGAUCCAGCCAUACCGCGUGGGUGAAGAAGGCCUUCGGGUUGUAAAGCCCUUUUGUUGGGAAAGAAAAGCAGCAGGUUAAUACCCCGCUGUUCUGACGGUACCCAAAGAAUAAGCACCGGCUAACUUCGUG